CUGGUAGGAUCCGAUAGGUGUCUUUAUCACUAAGAAUAAGGUUUACCAUUUGGAUAUAAUCCGAACAAUUCAUGGCCACAAUAUUCCCACCUUUAUCAGAUGGUUUAAUGACAAUGUUGGUGUUUGAUUUUAUCUCAUUAAGUGGUAAGCGUUCUCUUUUUGGUGAGUUUACCAUUAGAUCUAUAUGCAAGAUCCCUUUCAUCCACAGAUUUAAUGUACCUGCAGACCAUCUCUUAAGAAAAAAACAAUGUUCUUAUAUUCCCUAAUUUGUGAGGUAAAUUUGCUUUUAGGUCAAAGGUUAGUAUUUGGUUCUAAUCCCUCACUAAGGUCCAGGUUUUGAGCUGUAUAUUCCUUUCUUAUAGAGUGGUACUAAUGGAG